rnacentral:rRNA from 1 species
GUGCCAGCAGCCGCGGUAAGACGAACCGUGCGAACGUUAUUCGGAAUCACUGGGCUUAAAGCGCGUGUAGGCGGAUGGGGACGUCGGCAACUGAAAGCCCCCGGCUCAACCGGGGAAGUGGUACCGAAACGCCCCGUCUGGAGGGACGUAGGGGGACCUGGAACUUCCGGUGGAGCGGUGAAAUGCGUUGAGAUCGGAAGGAACGCCCGUGGCGAAAGCGAGGUCCUGGACGUCUGCUGACGCUGAGACGCGAAAGCUAGGGGAGCGAACGGGAUUAGAUACCCCGGUAGUCC